AUUGUAGGUAUUGAGAGUUCCGCGCUGUGGGUGUUUAUAUUUUUUUAUUUUGCAUUUUUACCAAUAAAAAGCUCGUGAAUUGAAAUGUUUUCGCCCUAAAACGUUACAAUUAUAUAUCCAUAAACGAUUGCAAGUUCUUCAAACAUGCCUCUCGCUGGCUGUAGCGGCGUGGUAGGCCGUGGGCACGAUGGCCGAGGAGCACGCGUGCUUGGUGCGCGCGCGCUCCGACUCUGAGGGCUCGUCUAAGCACAGCUUCGGCACCAUGACCUAUACUGAAGAUAGACUUAGCGGUACAGAGAGCGGCGGCGGCGAGCCUGGCAACACCAGCCACAUGGCUGCCAGCCCGCCCGACGCCGCCGACGCCAACGAGAGCGGCGAGCUCCUCGACUAUAACGACUCUAGCGUGCUCGAGCAGUUCCACGAGGAUGCCUUGCGACAGGCUGGUUGCGGUCUCUCCCAAGCGCGAGUCACACUAGCAGUGUUCUUUGCAAUAGCGGGCGCCUCGCUCGAGCUGGCUGCCAUACCGUUCAUCUUGCCCUCCGCGGAAAUCGAACUGUGUAUACUGCCGCACGAGAAGAAUUGGCUCGUAAUGAUCAGCCUAGUGGGCGGUUCCAUUGGCGCAGCGGGGUGGGGUGCACUAUCAGAGCGACUGGGGCGCAGGCGAUGUCUGCUCUCAUGUCUUGCCGUCAACGCGGUAUUUGCCGCCAUAGCUGCUUUCAUGCCAACUUAUGGGACUUUUAUGAUGGCCAGAUUCUGUUCAGCGAUAGGCUCUGGCGGCAUUGUCCCCAUAAGCUACACGUACAUAGGCGAGGUGUGCGCGGGCGGGCGCCGCGCCGCGCUGAGCGCCUGCGCCGCCGCCGCCGCCGCCGGCUCGCUGCUCGCGGCCGCGCUGGCAGCCGCCACGCUGCCGCAGACCGGCGCCACCACGCUCAUCGAGAAUAAGGAGCACUUUAGUGCCUGGCACAGGUAUCUCCUACUAUGCACGCUACCGAUACUCGCGUCGCUGGUCAGUCUGAUCUGGACGCAGGAAUCGCCGCGGUAUUUACUAGAUGCGGGAAGGGAAGUCGACGCCAUGAUGGUUUAUCAGAGCAUACACAGCAGCAACAAGGUGCUGGUGUGCGGCGUGGCGGUGGCGGGCGCGGCCGAGUACCGCCUGGGCGAGCUGGCGCUGCCCGGCAAGCGCCGCCCGCCCGCCCUGCACCACUGCCGCCAUAGCGUCAGCAUGUUCUGGCAGUCAUUCUUCCAACUGUUCUCGAGCCCGUACCGCAAUACCACGCUCUCGCUCGGAGGAAUGUUGCUGUUUACUAUGGCUAUACAGUAUUACCUGGCAUCUUACGUCCCAGCAUCCGUAGUGAAAAUGGACAGCGAUCUUUUCGAAGCUUCCAAAAAGAGUUACGGAAACGACACAUAUACAGACGUACAUUACAACACAACGUUAGAAAACAUUGAAUUUUACAAUAUGACGUUUAAUAAAUGUACUAUUAAAGAUCUGUUGAUGUCCCACGUGGCGUUCAAGAAUUGUUCGUUCAAUAAUGUAGCGUUGUCGAAUAUUAAGACUUCGUUUACAACCUUUGAGGGGUGCCUGUUUGUGAAUAGCACAAUAAUCGACACAGACAUGGAAGUAGGCAGGGAACUAGACGAGUGGUGUACCUUUACAAGUACCAUCAUCCGCGGCAUGCGCGGCGGCUGCUCGCGCCACGCCGACCUGACGUCGCGGCUCGGCGGCAUGAUCGCCGAGCAGAGCUACGUGUCCCACGCCAUGUUUGUCGUCGUGUUUGUUGCUCUGUUGCCGACCAGCAUGAGGCCUCCUGUGGCAAUGUGUGGCGCAUGUAUAUUGCUGUCUCCCUUAGUAUACAUAGCGCAGAGUGAGACAGCGCUAUACGUAGUGGAGGCGGUCUACCGAUUCUUUAUAGCGAUGGUGUUCUAUAUAGUCGGAGUCACUGUUGUUAAUACAUAUCCACAUAAUUUGAGAUGCACAGCACACGGGCUGAUCCUCUCAGUGACGUACAUGGGCAUGGCCAUGGUGCGCGGCGCGGGCGACGGCGGAGCGCUGGUCAGUGCGCUGCUCUGCGCUGCGCUGGGCGCUGCCGCUACCGGCGCUGCGCUCGCUGCUAACCUGCGCUAGUGCAGGUCAGUGUCUAUACACGUCACACAGAUGCACAGUACACGCUGGUCAGUGCGCUGCUCUGCGCUGCGCUGGGCGCUGCCGCUACCGGCGCUGCGCUCGCUGCUAACCUGCGCUAGUGCAGGUCAGUGUCUAUACACGUCACACAGAUGCACAGUACACGCUGGUCAGUGCGCUGCUCUGCGCUGCGCUGGGCGCUGCCGCUACCGGCGCUGCGCUCGCUGCUAACCUGCGCUAGUGCAGGUCAGUGUCUAUACACGUCACACAGAUGCACAGUACACGCUGGUCAGUGCGCUGCUCUGCGCUGCGCUGGGCGCUGCCGCUACCGGCGCUGCGCUCGCUGCUAACCUGCGCUAGUGCAGGUCAGUGUCUAUACACGUCACACAGAUGCACAGUACACGCUGGUCAGUGCGCUGCUCUGCGCUGCGCUGGGCGCUGCCGCUACCGGCGCUGCGCUCGCUGCUAACCUGCGCUAGUGCAGGUCAGUGUCUAUACACGUCACACAGAUGCACAGUACACGCUGGUCAGUGCGCUGCUCUGCGCUGCGCUGGGCGCUGCCGCUACCGGCGCUGCGCUCGCUGCUAACCUGCGCUAGUGCAGGUCAGUGUCUAUACACGUCACACAGAUGCACAGUACACGCUGGUCAGUGCGCUGCUCUGCGCUGCGCUGGGCGCUGCCGCUACCGGCGCUGCGCUCGCUGCUAACCUGCGCUAGUGCAGGUCAGUGUCUAUACACGUCACACAGAUGCACAGUACACGCUGGUCAGUGCGCUGCUCUGCGCUGCGCUGGGCGCUGCCGCUACCGGCGCUGCGCUCGCUGCUAACCUGCGCUAGUGCAGGUCAGUGUCUAUACACGUCACACAGAUGCACAGUACACGCUGGUCAGUGCGCUGCUCUGCGCUGCGCUGGGCGCUGCCGCUACCGGCGCUGCGCUCGCUGCUAACCUGCGCUAGUGCAGGUCAGUGUCUAUACACGUCACACAGAUGCACAGUACACGCUGGUCAGUGCGCUGCUCUGCGCUGCGCUGGGCGCUGCCGCUACCGGCGCUGCGCUCGCUGCUAACCUGCGCUAGUGCAGGUCAGUGUCUAUACACGUCACACAGAUGCACAGUACACGCUGGUCAGUGCGCUGCUCUGCGCUGCGCUGGGCGCUGCCGCUACCGGCGCUGCGCUCGCUGCUAACCUGCGCUAGUGCAGGUCAGUGUCUAUACACGUCACACAGAUGCACAGUA
rnacentral:misc_RNA from 1 species